CCCUUAGAUGUUCUGGGCCGCACGCGCGCUACACUGAUACAUGCAACGAGGUUAUAACCUUGAUCUGACGGUCUGGGUAAUCUUCAAACUGUAUCGUGUUAGGGAUCGAUUCUUGCAAUUUUUAAUCGUAAACGAGGAAUUCCUAGUAAACGCAAGUCAUCAGCUUGCAUUGAUUACGUCCCUGCCCUUUGUACACACCGCCCGUCGACUCUACCGAUUGAAUGGUUCGGUGAAAACUUUGGACUGUGGCAUUGUCCUUCAUUGGACUUCGCCGUAGGAAAUUGUUUAAACCUCAUCAUUUAGAGGAAGAAUAAGUCGUAACA
rnacentral:rRNA from 1 species